rnacentral:rRNA from 1 species
UACGUAGGGGGCUAGCGUUGUCCGGAAUCAUUGGGCGUAAAGAGCGUGUAGCGGCCCGGUAAGUCCGCUGUAAAAAGUCAAAGGCUCAACCUUUGAAUGUCAGUGGAUACUGCCGGGCUAGAGUCCGGAAGAGGCGAGUGGAACUCCUGGUGUAGCGGUGGAAUGCGCAGAUAUCAGGAAGAACACCAACGGCGAAGGCAGCUCGCUGGGGACGGUACUGACGCUGAGACGCGAAAGCGUGGGGAGCGAACAGG